AGACCUUGACAGUUGUAACCGAUAGACUGGGCUGGGGCAACGCUGAUGAAAGGCAAAUUCCUGAGAGAAAAAUCACCCAGAUUUUUCAGUGCCUUCUCUAGCUUUCUAGAAGUUGUUAUGAGUGGACCUGACUACCUAGAGAGAGUAAUACAGAAGCUCCGUGCCGAUCACAGCUACCUCAUUACCAUGUUCCUCCAAGAUGGCCGCCCCUGAGGAGAAUCAUCAACUGGGCUUUACGGAAGAGAGAAAUCCAAACGACCAUCAGCAACAAAUGAAAGACUGAAGUUGAAAGGCAAGUCUUCAGAUUUGAAGUAAGAGCUAAAAAUGAAAAAAGAAUCCUGGAGAUGACCAGCAUUUAGUGGGGUGAGGAAGAAGAGAAAAGCAGCAAGUAAAGAAUAAAAGUUUCAAGAUUGUCAAGAAUGACGAGUUGGACUUGGUCUAGUUACUUCCACAGCAGCAGGAGGAACAUGUGUGUGACUCAGGAUAACUGGGGAAGCCUUGGCUAGGCUUUCCUCAUGUCAACCUACCACUCAAAGGGAGAAAACCUCCUGAUCAGAGGUGCCCAGAACCCAGGAAAUCCAUAAUUUUUGAAUGCUGGCCGAGGUCUGUGACCUCUGACUGAAUGGUUUCCAAGCUCCGAAUUCCUAGGUGAUGUUUUCAUUUGUUCACACUUGCUGAAGAAGGGAAAGGCUCUCUGAUUUACGUGUAAGCAAAACAAUCUAAACAGUAGGAUAAAAUCAUGUUGGAAUGGAGUUCUGUGUGGAUGCUCCUUUGA
ensembl:lncRNA LINC01206 long intergenic non-protein coding RNA 1206